UUUCUACAGUGGUCUUAGACAAUUUUGGAGCAAAAAUCAUUCCUAUCGCAAAACAAAUUGUAAAAUUUGUUCCUAAAUCAGUAAAAGCUAUAGCCUUCAGCAGAAUGUUGACUCUAGACAGCAUAGGAUUUUACUCUAUUAGUGAAUUUUCUUCUCUUGCCUUAUUGUUACUAUUUUCUUUAUCCAUACAGACAAGCACUGAUUUGGUACAGCCGGCUUCUGGUGGUUCAUUUAAUGGAUUCACACAGCCCCAGGAUACUUCAUUAUUCACAAUGCAGACAGACCAGAGUAUGAUCUGCAACUUGGCUGAAUCUGAACAGGCUCCGCCCACAGAGCCAAAAGCAGAGGAGCCUCUGGCUGCUGUCACACCUGCCGUUGGGCUGGACCUUGGAAUGGACACUCGGGCUGAGGAGCCAGUGGAGGAGGCAGUGAUCAUACCUGGAGCUGAUACUGAUGCAGCUGUUGGAACCUUGGUGUCAGCAGCUGAGGGGGCCCCAGGAGAGGAAGCAGAGGCAGAGAAGCCCACUGUCCCUGCCGGGGAAGGAGUAAGUUUAGAGGAGGCCAAAAUUGGAACUG
rnacentral:sRNA from 1 species